rnacentral:lncRNA from 1 species
UGAAAAGGGAAGUAUUUUGAUUUCCUCUCUGUUUGUGUGCACAUCAACUGAGACUCUCCAACACAAGGAUCCUGAAAUGUAGCAGGAUUAAGUUACAAUAACCUUCCUCCCUUUUCUCCCUUUUGCAAAAGGAGGGAGUGUGGGAUCAAGAUUUCAUGGAUGGGACUGGGAUGCCAGGGACAUAGAGUCUAGCUCUGACUCUACUGUGAUCUUGGGUGCUGUCAGAAGAAAACAGGUGCAAAGAAAAAUGCAACUCCAGGCUCACUCCAGUUAGAGAUGUCACAUAAAUGGAGAACAUGAAAAUGAGAAAGGUUCAAGUGGCUUCUGUAACUGCCUGCUGAGGCUCUUGGAGGUGAAUGCAGUGGGCAUGUGGCAGGAUCUGCACCCGUCCUCCCUGCUCUCUGUGGUGAACUAGAUACAGCUUUUAGGUUUUAACCAUCAUCACAACUGCAGGCUGCUGUGGUUUCAGCAAAGUCAUAUAACCUCAUGCUGUGCUGACAUUAAUACAGAUCACUUCAAUUAAUAGAGAUAACUUUGCUCUCGUUGGCAAACUGUCAUUUAAACAUGGUGUGGGAGGGGGGAGAUGAAGAGCUUUCCAUUGACCUGUUUUUUGAAGAUGCUUAGACCUUUUCCCAAAGAAGGUAAAAUUGUCAUUGAUAAAUGAUGAUCUGUACGUUCCAGCAUUAAUUAUUUAAAUUCCAUUAACUUAAUAAUAGUAUGCAAUAAGUCUUCCUGCACAGCCUUUUAGUUUUCCUCCUUUUUAUUAAAUUGGUGUUUUGAUUGAUUUGGGUUAUUUUAGCAUGGAAUAAAAAUGGGGCUGAGGCCA